rnacentral:rRNA from 1 species
CUUCUAAGCUAAAUAUUACCAUGAGACCGAUAGCGAACAAGUACCGUGAGGGAAAGUUGAAAAGCACUCUGAAUAGAGAGUCAAAAAGUACGUGAAACCGUUUAAGGGUUUAAACCUGAUGAACCUAAAUAUCUGAAUGAGGAAAUUCAGCAUUAUUGUGUCAGAUGAUGGCAUAAUGGUGUGCACUUUUCUUCUGCGCACAGUAAGACGUUGCGAUCCAUUAGAAAACUAAAUCUGUAUCGCAAGACAUAGGCCCGGGUAGGAGUUUAUACAUUAAGCGAGUACCAAUACUUUGUUGUAAUGGGAAUGCGUGUAAACUACUUGUGCCGCGUGUUCUUACAGAUGUCUGAUGGUAUUAUGAAUAAGUGUCGUAUACAAUCUUCGGAUACACUGAUAUCUCUUGUGGAUAUAAUGCGUACAUUAUCGAGCAACGAUUUUAGAUUUAGGAUACCAUCAGGACCCGUCUUGAAACACGGAC